rnacentral:rRNA from 1 species
GAGGAGCUUAGCUCCCGGAUGUUAGCGGCGGACGGGUGAGUAACACGUGGGUAACCUGCCUGUAAGACUGGGAUAACUCCGGGAAACCGGAGCUAAUACCGGAUAGUUCCUUGAACCGCAUGGUUCAAGGAUGAAAGACGGUUUCGGCUGUCACUUACAGAUGGACCCGCGGCGCAUUAGCUAGUUGGUGGGGUAAUGGCUCACCAAGGCGACGAUGCGUAGCCGACCUGAGAGGGUGAUCGGCCACACUGGGACUGAGACACGGCCCAGACUCCUACGGGAGGCAGCAGUAGGGAAUCUUCCGCAAUGGACGAAAGUCUGACGGAGCAACGCCGCGUGAGUGAUGAAGGUUUUCGGAUCGUAAAGCUCUGUUGUUAGGGAAGAACAAGUGCGAGAGUAACUGCUCGCACCUUGACGGUACCUAACCAGAAAGCCACGGCUAACUACGUGCCAGCAGCCGCGGUAAUACGUAGGUGGCAAGCGUUGUCCGGAAUUAUUGGGCGUAAAGGGCUCGCAGGCGGUUUCUUAAGUCUGAUGUGAAAGCCCCCGGCUCAACCGGGGAGGGUCAUUGGAAACUGGGAAACUUGAGUGCAGAAGAGGAGAGUGGAAUUCCACGUGUAGCGGUGAAAUGCGUAGAGAUGUGGAGGAACACCAGUGGCGAAGGCGACUCUCUGGUCUGUAACUGACGCUGAGG